rnacentral:misc_RNA from 1 species
UCCGGUUUGGCACCGGCAGUCCUCCCAGAGUCCUCGGCAUGACCCGGUAGCAACUGGGAGCGGGGGUUGCGCUCGUUGCGGGACUUAACCCAACAUCUCACGACACGAGCUGACGACAGCCAUGCAGCACCUGUGCAGGGACUCCGAAGAGGGGCCGUGGUUUCUCACGGCUUUCCCCAAGAUGUCAAGCCCAGGUAAGGUUCUUCGCGUUGCGUCGAAUUAAACCACAUGCUCCGCCGCUUGUGCGGGUCCCCGUCAAUUCCUUUGAGUUUUAGCCUUGCGGCCGUACUCCCCAGGCGGGGUGCUUAAUGCGUUUGCGACGGCACGGAGGGAGUCGACACCCCCCACACCUAGUGCCCAUCGUUUACGGCGUGGACUAC